rnacentral:tRNA from 1 species
GUUUUAAUAGUUUAAAAAAAAACCUUGGUCUUGUAAAUCAAAAUUGAAUUACUAUUCUUAAGACUUUAAAAUAUAAU